rnacentral:miRNA from 14 species
CGGGUGGCGCUGCGGAGCGGCAGCAGGUGCGGGGUGGCGGAGGCUGCGGCUCCGCAGUGCCAUCCCUUAUUCCACCUGCGCUGUGCGCCAGCAC